rnacentral:lncRNA from 1 species
GCAGGAGCUGUCUGCUUUGGGCAGGGCUAGUGUAACCUCAGUGACAGGUUGAAUUUAACACCUCACUACCUCCUCCACCAGCCAGGCCACUGCUAUCCAGGACUCCACUGCCUGGGAUCAGCCUUCUCUACACACAUGGAGCCCCUGGGGAUAGGUCUCACCUUGCUGGUAAUGAUGCAGACCCAGGCCCAAGGCCCAAGAAGGCAUGAAGGGCUUCCUCAAGCCCUGCUGCCCAACAUACCUUUCCACAAGAUCUGUCUUCUGCCCAGCCUUGGGAAGGAGAUAGUAACUAUGAACCCUGGCCAGGCAGGCCCAGUUCCCAUGGGUAGAAACAAGAAACGGGGAGCUCAGCCCAAUGGCAUCCCGGCGCAGACUUCACAUUCCCCGGUGGCCCUCAAGACCGUCCAGGACCCUGGCAUAUGAACACUGGGUCAGCUGAGCCAGGACCUCCUCAGAGACUGGGAAGGCUAGAAGGCUGUCAGAGUUGACUGACUAUGGAAGGCUCGGCUCUCAUCGCAUCCCAACUAGACCCACAAUGUCCCUGCUCACUCAGCCCCAACACAAUAAAUGCCUGUGACAG